rnacentral:rRNA from 1 species
CAGUAGCCACGGUAAUACGAAGGGUGCAGGCGUUAAUCGGAAUUACUGGGCGUAAAGCGUGCGUAGGCGGUUUGUUAAGUCUGUUGUGAAAUCCCCGGGCUCAACCUGGGAAUGGCAGUGGAUACUGGCUCGCUAGAGUGUGUCAGAGGAUGGUGGAAUUCCCGGUGUAGCGGUGAAAUGCGUAGAGAUCGGGAGGAACAUCAGUGGCGAAGGCGGCCAUCUGGGACAACACUGACGCUGAGGCACGAAAGCGUGGGGAGCAAACAGGAUUAGAUACCCCGGUAGUCCCUGUCUCUUAUAC